rnacentral:rRNA from 1 species
AUUGAACGCUGGCGGCAGGCCUAACACAUGCAAGUCGAGCGCGCGGCGGACGGGUGAGUAAUGUCUGGGAAACUGCCUGAUGGAGGGGGAUAACUACUGGAAACGGUAGCUAAUACCGCAUACCAUCAGAUGUGCCCAGAUGGGAUUAGCUAGUAGGUGGGGUAACGGCUCACCUAGGCGACGAUCCCUAGCUGGUCUGCGAGGAUGACCAGACACACGGGAACUGAAAAACGGUCCAGACACCUACGGGAGGCAGCAGUGGGAAAUAUUGCACAAUGGGCGCAAGCCUGAUGAAGCCAUGCAGAGGUGGUGAAGAAGGCCUUCGGGUUGUAAAGCACUUUCAGCGGGGAGGCGUGACCCGCAGAAGAAGCACCGGCUAACUCCGUGCCAGCAGCCGCGGUAAUAC